rnacentral:rRNA from 1 species
ACUGUCCAUGUCAAAGCCAGAUCUUGUCCGAUCACAGAAGCUAAGCAGAGCUGGGCCUGGAGAGUACUUGGAUGGGACACUACUGGGAAUACCAGGAGCCACAGUG